rnacentral:rRNA from 1 species
GUGGCGAGUGGCGAACGGGUGAGUAAUACAUCGGAACGUGUCCUGUAGUGGGGGAUAGCCCGGCGAAAGCCGGAUUAAUACCGCAUACGCUCUACGGAGGAAAGGGGGGGAUCUUAGGACCUCCCGCUACAGGGGCGGCCGAUGGCAGAUUAGCUAGUUGGUGGGGUAAAGGCCUACCAAGGCGACGAUCUGUAGCUGGUCUGAGAGGACGACCAGCCACACUGGGACUGAGACACGGCCCAGACUCCUACGGGAGGCAGCAGUGGGGAAUUUUGGACAAUGGGGGCAACCCUGAUCCAGCAAUGCCGCGUGUGUGAAGAAGGCCUUCGGGUUGUAAAGCACUUUUGUCCGGAAAGAAAACGCCGUGGUUAAUACCCGUGGCGGAUGACGGUACCGGAAGAAUAAGCACCGGCUAACUACGUGCCAGCAGCCGCGGUAAUACGUAGGGUGCAAGCGUUAAUCGGAAUUACUGGGCGUAAAGCGUGCGCAGGCGGUCCGCUAAGACAGAUGUGAAAUCCCCGGGCUUAACCUGGGAACUGCAUUUGUGACUG